rnacentral:rRNA from 1 species
AGUGAACGCUGACGGCAGGCCUAACACAUGCAAGUCGAGCGGCAGCGCGGGGGCAACCCUGGCGGCGAGCGGCGGACGGGUGAGGAAUUCGUCGGAAUCUGCCUUUUUGUGGGGGAUAACGUAGGGAAACUUACGCUAAUACCGCAUACGUCCUACGGGAGAAAGUGGGGGACCGCAAGGCCUCACGCAGAAAGAUGAGCCGACGACCGAUUAGCUAGUUGGUGGGGUAAAGGCCCACCAAGGCGACGAUCGGUAGCUGGUCUGAGAGGAUGAUCAGCCACACUGGGACUGAGACACGGCCCAGACUCCUACGGGAGGCAGCAGUGGGGAAUAUUGGACAAUGGGCGCAAGCCUGAUCCAGCCAUGCCGCGUGUGUGAAGAAGGCCUUCGGGUUGUAAAGCACUUUUGUCCGGAAAGAAAUCCCUGGAGCUAAUACCUUCGGGGGAUGACGGUACCGGAAGAAUAAGCACCGGCUAACUUCGUG